GAUGAUGUCAACAACAGGCCAUGCCUACUCCGUGCCAGAUGACAGGUAGCUUGGGAGAUGUCCAGUUUAUCUAAAUGAAGACUUUUUAGCCUUCACAGAAUGACUGAUUAUUCAUUCAGUGUCAAUCAGAUAGGUUAAAAAAUGUAGAGCUAAUAGUUUCCAUUUGUAAUUCUUGCAUAGAAAUGAAUGUUGUGUAGAAACUGUUACACAACAAACAUUAAGGGCCUUAGGUUACUAGAUAUGAUCUUCUACUUAAACUACUUUUCAUUGAUGUGACCUUGUUUCCAGUGCAAGGUAGUCUGGUAGCAAAAGGGAAGGAAAUGGAAAUCUUCUUUUAUGAAAAUAGAUGGACUAUUCCAGACUGUAUCUGCAGAAAAAUAAAUGAAUGUCUGCAGCAGUUGAAAUCACGGCAAAGCCAUCGCAUUACAGACAGCGGAGCAGAGAAGGAGCUGGUUUCUUCGUUAUCUACCUGGUACUUAUCAUGA
ensembl:lincRNA